AAUCGUACAUAAAGAGUCUAACGUAUUAUUAUUGUGGGGAAGACCGUGAAAUUCGUUAAACCCUCCCGAAUCUAAUGAUUAAUACAAUAUUUAUUGAGGGCCCUGCAAUUUGUAGUUUUAUUUGGUGAGACUCGUCUCAUUUUAUUUAAAGGAUAAUCCUAAAAAGUCUAUGGUUUUCUACUGGGUUUUUGUCUCUAAUAACAAACAAAAGAAAACCUAAAUAAAAAAUAUAUGUGAAGGGUCCAAAUUCCGUGCUGGUUGUCGAGUCCAGAAAUACGAUGGUCCAGGCCCAAAUAGCCCCCGUUCAGGAUGCAUAGGCCCAUUUUUGCAGAGGACCUCAUUUCGAACCUAUGUACCCGCUGCCACAUUUCAAGCAUUAGUUGGCCUACGUUCACGGCACAGGCAUUUUUGGAAGCCAAAAAUAUCAAAGUCAUUUUCAACUUAUUAAUCUACGCAAAGAAAUACAACUUAAUAGUCAUUCUUACAUGAAUGAAAUCAUAGCAUUAAUAAUUGUGAGGCAAUCAGUGGGAUACUUGUAUAGUGGGCACCUAAUUUAUGACAAACUAACUCAAAGACCUUGGUUACUCAAAUGAACUAGUAAAAAAAAGUACAACCCAGUAUAAUCCUACUUAGUGGGGUCUGGGGAGGGUACUAUGUACGCUGAACAUACCCCUACCCUGGGGUAGAGAGGCUAUUUCCAAAUAGACCCCCAGCAUCCUUCCCUCCAAGAACUUCCCAUCUUUGCUCUUGGGGAGACUCGAACUCAAAUGAACUAGUGUAUGCAAAUAAAAAAAACAGCGAUUACCAAAUUUUAAAGGAAGUAUAGGUCUGUUGAAUUAAUGAAAUUAGAUCUAUUACACUGAAAAAAACUUCAAACAUAACAGACCUAUUGACCUUACUAAAGUGCUGAUUGUUUGGUUCCGUUCAAUGUUUGCAGAUUUCAGUUGCUAGUAUAAACAAUUAUUGAUUCCAGUUUUUGUGGAUUCACAGUUAUACUUUGCCAACCAAACCAAAUCAAUUUCUAGCAUUGGCUAUCUACUAACUUUAGUGCCUACAAGUAUAAAAUAGUCCAAUACCAAUCAAAAUAGUCCUAAGUACAUUCCAAUACCAAUCGAGCAAUUCACAUUAAUUACGAUGUAAACCUAAGCAACUAAAGCAACGAAUGCAAUGAAGCCAAAUCCUAAAACUCUUGAUGGAAGUGAAAACACAGUAGAAUUCAUCAAGCCUCAGAAUUCCAUUGCAUUUCAUUUCAUUACAGAGAUUACAACCUCGAAUGUGUACCUGGAAAUAGGGGAUAACAAAGGAGAGGAGAAAUGUCAACAAUAGAGUAGCAAUGAGCAGCAACAACUUAAAACUCAAACACGACCACAACCCAAAACAAGUUGAGGAAUCAACGGCAACAGCAAAUAUUCAAACCAAAAGACUCAAUCGAACUUGAAUUUACCCAGAAUAGAAGCAAUGACACUUCAGAACAAAUUCCACACACAACCAAAACCAAAAAUGCUUAGCGAACGAAAACAAACCCCAAGUUAAACCCAACAGAUGCACCACCUACCUGAAAAGGCAUCAGAAUGCUUCAAUAAAUCCAAACUCAACUGAAAAUACAAAAAUGUGAUGAGGAUAGAUGGAGAUAAGGAAUAAAUUGGCAGUUUCUCAAUGAUACAGUAGAGUCUUUUUGAUUUUUAUGAGUUUUUAUUUGUUUUUUUGGUUUUUGGAAGAUGGAAUUCAAAUUUAGAUCUAAAAAAACUAAGAGAGAGAGCUUCCAGGGGAAUUCGUGAGCUGAAAGGAAUCCCUCACACAAGGCAUUGGGCUGGAUUUUAUAGGCAAAGUGGAGGGGGUCUCAAAUUUAUAUUUGCAAAGCAGUCCCCAACUUUAUUUCUGUUUCCCACCUUUAAAUUUUUAAAAUUGACACCAAGGUCCUAUUGUAGAAUGUUCUAGCGCAUUCUGUAGCAUUUCAUCCUACGUCAAAAGCCCAAAACACCCCUGAGUUCAAACUAACUAAGGACUAUAGUUGACAAAUCCUUUGAACUAUAGUGAUUAACUGGAAUGCAUCCUAAUUAACAAUCAUCAUCAAGUUGAAGUCAACCACACUUAAACAAAACUGAUAAAGAAAAAUCAACAAACCAAAGGCUAAAUUAAAACCUAAUACCAAAUUAGCACAGUUUCACUGAACCAACAUGAAAUAAAU
rnacentral:lncRNA from 1 species